GACAGAGGAUGCAAGCGUUAUCCGGAAUGAUUGGGCGUAAAGCGUCUGUAGGUGGCUUUUCAAGUCCGCCGUCAAAUCCCAGGGCUCAACCCUGGACAGGCGGUGGAAACUACCAAGCUGGAGUACGGUAGGGGCAGAGGGGAUUUCCGGUGGAGCGGUGAAAUGCAUUGAGAUCGGGAGGAACACCAGUGGCGAAGGCGGGCAUCUGGGCCAACACUGACGCUGAGGCGCGAAAGCUAGGGGAGCAAACAGG
rnacentral:rRNA from 1 species